rnacentral:rRNA from 1 species
CCGCACGGGUGAGUAACACGUAUCCAACCUGCCGUCUACUCUUGGACAGCCUUCUGAAAGGAAGAUUAAUACAAGAUGGCAUCAUGAGUUCACAUGUUCACAUGAUUAAAGGUAUUCCGGUAGACGAUGGGGAUGCGUUCCAUUAGGUAGUAGGCGGGGUAACGGCCCACCUAGUCUUCGAUGGAUAGGGGUUCUGAGAGGAAGGUCCCCCACAUUGGGACUGAGACACGGUCCAA